rnacentral:lncRNA from 1 species
CUUUUUUACAAAAUAAGCAUCUACAAUUUUAUAAUUUGCGAAAUAACCCCAUCAAAUUUGUAUUUGAUAAAUUAACUCUUAAAACCCGCAUUCUGAAAGUAUCUAAAUUCUUUUAAAGGCGGUGAAUUAUUUACCGUCUUCUUUAUAAUUUUUUAAGAAAGAAGAAAAAUGAGGUUGUUAAAAUUGUACGUAAAUUAUACGGAAAAUAAAAAAAGUGAGGUUGUCAGGAUUGUGUGUGAAAUAUUAGAAUUUUUAUUUGAUUGUUAGAAUUGUAUGAAUAAAUUAUUAAAAAAUUUUGAUUGUUAGGAUUUUAUAGAUUAUGUAUAGUUAAAACUGAAAAAAAAAAUAAUAGUUAUUGCAUAUGAAAAUAU